rnacentral:misc_RNA from 1 species
AAGACUAUAGACCUGCGGAGUACCUGCGGAGGGAUCAUUACUGAACUUGUGGAGGCGGUUCUUACCCCUCCCAACUUCUAUUCAUCUCACUCGAGCACCGUGGGAGCGAGCGCUCCGUCAUUUCUUUCUACCCAUCGAACGUUGCAAGGCGACGCUGGAAAGCGAAACAUAUAAACACAACUUUUAGCAACGGAUCUCU